CUCAGGAUGAACGCUGGCGGCGUGCCUAAUACAUGCAAGUCGAGCGAACUGAUUAGAAGCUUGCUUCUAUGACGUUAGCGGCGGACGGGUGAGUAACACGUGGGCAACCUGCCUGUAAGACUGGGAUAACUUCGGGAAACCGAAGCUAAUACCGGAUAGGAUCUUCUCCUUCAUGGGAGAUGAUUGAAAGAUGGUUUCGGCUAUCACUUACAGAUGGGCCCGCGGUGCAUUAGCUAGUUGGUGAGGUAACGGCUCACCAAGGCAACGAUGCAUAGCCGACCUGAGAGGGUGAUCGGCCACACUGGGACUGAGACACGGCCCAGACUCCUACGGGAGGCAGCAGUAGGGAAUCUUCCGCAAUGGACGAAAGUCUGACGGAGCAACGCCGCGUGAGUGAUGAAGGCUUUCGGGUCGUAAAACUCUGUUGUUAGGGAAGAACAAGUACGAGAGUAACUGCUCGUACCUGACGGUACCUAC
rnacentral:rRNA from 1 species